rnacentral:rRNA from 2 species
GACGAACGCUGGCGGUGUGCUUAACACAUGCAAGUCGAACGGUAAGGCCCUUUCGGGGGUACACGAGUGGCGAACGGGUGAGUAACACGUGAGUAACCUGCCCUCAUCUCUGGGAUAACAGUCGGAAACGGUUGCUAAUACUGGAUAUGAGCUUGCAAGGCAUCUUGUGGGUUGGAAAGAUUUUUUGGUUGGGGAUGGACUCGCGGCCUAUCAGCUUGUUGGUGAGGUAGUGGCUCACCAAGGCUUCGACGGGUAGCCGGCCUGAGAGGGCGACCGGCCACAUUGGGACUGAGAUACGGCCCAGACUCCUACGGGAGGCAGCAGUGGGGAAUAUUGCACAAUGGACGGAAGUCUGAUGCAGCAACGCCGCGUGCGGGAUGACGGCCUUCGGGUUGUAAACCGCUUUCAAUUGUGACGA